rnacentral:misc_RNA from 1 species
GAGAAAAGAAGAGAAUGGGCUAUAAUCGCAAAAGGUCAAAAAAUGUUCAGAUUCUUUUGACCAUUAGGCCAAUAAGAUAUACUUGUGCUCACAAAGUAACUAUGCAAUUGCAUUUGAUUCCACGAACAUGAUAGACCAUAUUCCUGAUCUAGGUGCAUUUUCAUGCACAUACAUUUUCUACAUUAAAUUAAAGAGAAACUGUUCAACAGCUUACUGUCAACAGUCCAAUCCAAGAAACAUUUUACAAUUAAGACAGAAAAACUAUCCGUCUAAGUAGUCCAGCCCUUUGUUCCUUAAUUAGCACAAAAAUUUUGAAUUAAUACUUGAACAAAAAGAACCAUAUAUUUUUAUAUCAACUAGUUGCCGUGUAAUAUAAAGAAAGUAAUGUCAUAGGGAAGAAAAAUUAUUUACAAUUUUGGAUGAACAUGC